UCCCCGUUGCCGAGGCAGUCUGGUUAGAAAAAUACAACUAACCACGAGGGUUGCGCUCGUUGAAGGACUUAACCUAACAUCUCACGACACGAGCUGACGACGGCCAUGCAUCACCUGUCACUGGUCCAACUAAAUGACCAUCUAAUUUCUUAGACGUGCGACCAGGAUGUCAAGCCUUGGUAAGGUUCUUCGCGUAGCCUCGAAUUAAACCACACGCUCCACCGCUUGUGCGGGUCCCCGUCAAUUCCUUUGAGUUUUAGCCUUGCGGCCGUACUCCCCAGGCGGGAUACUUAACGCGUUAGCUUCGCUACCGAGCGGGUCGAUACGCCCAACAGCUAGUAUCCAUCGUUUACGGCGUGGACUAC
rnacentral:misc_RNA from 1 species